rnacentral:tRNA from 1 species
GUUAUAUUAGUUUAUUAAAAUAUUAAUUUUGUAAAUUAAAGAUUUAAAAAUAUAAUUAAAUAUAACA